CAUCACCUCCUUGUUCUCGGACUGUAUGCCCCUAUUAAUAAAGCUGAGGAUGCUGUGUGUUUUAUUAACUGCUCUCCUCCUGUUAUGCCUCCUUCACUGAUCUGUGGAUAUAUACCCCAAGUUCCCUCUGCUCUUGCACCCCCUUUAGAAUUUUACCCCCUACUUUGUAUUGUCGUUUUGUUUCGUUCAACCGACAUCCUUCACCAAAUUUGUGUUGAGUCACUUUUGUCUUUAUUUUCCAAUGUUCAUGAAUUAAAACCUAUUUUGUUAAAUCAAACUUCAUUUUCUCCCUCCUAGUAGUUUUGCUGCUAACUAAUAAUAUAACUCCACAAUAACAUGCAGUCUAGGAUCAGGUUGAGUCCAUUUAGCCCCCCAGGAACCUGCUCCGCUAUUCCAUACGAUCGCAGCUGAUCCUAUCUCAGCCUCAGCCCCACCUUCCUGCAAACACUCCCUUUGAUCCAUCACUGAUUAACAAUCUGUCUGUCUCCUCCUCCAAUUUAUGCAGUGUCCUGGGUGGUGAGGGUCAGGGGGAGUGAUUUCACAGAUUUGCAACCCUGUCCUCAUUUGAGAGAAUUCAUUCCCCCUGUUUUCAGUCUGCCCAGCCCCUUAUCCUGAAAUGAUAACCUCUUGUUCUAGAUUCUCCCACACAAGUAAACAUCCUCUCUCCAACUCCUUGUCAAUACCCCCUUCAGCAUCUUAUAGCCCUCAGUUAGAUCUCCUCUCUUCCAAACUCCAGAGAAACUGCUCAAUCUCUCAUCUAAGAUAAACCCUUCCUCUCUGGAAAUGAUUGAGUGAAUCUCCUCUGAACUACCUCCAGUAUAAACUGCAUCUGUCCUCAAGUAAAGAGAUCAAAAUUGUACCAGUCUCUUCUCAUAAGACUAACCUUUCAUCUGGGCAAUCAAUUCAGUGAUUUCCUUUCAACUCCCUCCAAUUCAACUAGAUCCCUUCUCAAAGAAGGGGACCAAAACUGUCUGCAGUACUCUGGAUGUGGAAACCCCAAUUCCUUGUACAGUUGCAGUAACAAUUACCUACUUCCAAAAUCCAUUCCUUUUGCAAUAAAUGUCUUCCUUGUGACCUGCUGUAGACUUUGCACUGAUACUUUGAACUUUUUCUCCUAUUCAGAUGAUAAGUUGCCUUUUUCAAUUCUUCUAACUGCAAUGGAUAGUCUCACCGCUAAUGGGUCUGAUCAAUGCUCAGUUCACUGUCUAACGGAAAUUAUGCUGCUAACCUGCUGAGUGUCAAAAGCAAUUCUUUAGUGUUCAUGUCAAGAUAUCAACUGGACCCCAGUGAAGAACGAACACAGAUCAAAGAUGAAGAAUGAAAUACCUGGCUCUGUGAGGUUGAUGGAAUACCUGGUCACAUUAAAUAUUGUUCCAACCCCGGUUGAUCGCGACGCACUGGUGUCUGCCUUGGUGCUGGGACUGGAAGGAUUCAACGGCCAGCUCUCUCCUGUCUGAGCUAAAGUUGUAAUUCCUGCUGGCAUUAAGGCUUACCUUUGAAAGUAGCAUUGAAAGUACGGUCCUGUACCUCGACACAAUACACACUCUCGAACAAGACGAUUCCCAAUUGGAACCUCCAUUUUAUUGACUAUGGGGGUGAGGGAAACCCCAGCAACAGGAACUGGAACAAAACAAGACAAAGAGGAAAUAAAAGAUUGGAUGUUGAAAUUGUCUUUUUUUUCCACAGACGUUAUCUUCUAUGACAGGAUAAUAAAUGACAGAAAGGAGAAAUAAAACAACUGAGAUUUCA